rnacentral:lncRNA from 1 species
GGUCUUUGGCAUUAGUGACCUUUGGAAGGAGUGUUUACAUGGUCAUGCUCUUUGUUGAUGUUGAUGCUAUUGCUUUCUGUUUGUUAAUUUUCUUUCUAACAGUCAGGCCCUUCUUCUGCUGGUCUGCUGGAGUUUUCUGGGGGUCCACUCCAUACCCUGUUUGCAUGGGUAUCACCAGCAGAGGCUGCAGAACAGCAAAGAUUGCUGUCUCCUCCUACUUCUGGAAGCUGUGUCCCAGAGGGGCACCUGCCAGAUGCUAGCCAGAGCUCUCCUGUAUGAAGUGUCUGUCGACCCCUGCUGGGAGAUGUCUCCCCAUCAGGAGGCAUGGGGGUCAGGGACCCACUUGUGGAAGCAGUCUGUCCCUUAGCGGAGCUCCAGUGCUGUGCUAGGAGAUCUGCUGCUCUCUUCAGAGCUGGCAGGUGGGAAUGUUUAAGUCUGCUGAAGCUGUGCCCACAGCUGCCCCUUCCCCCAGGUGCUCUGUCCCUGGGAGACGGAAGUUUUAUCUAUAAGCCCCUGACUGGGGCUACUGGCUUUCUUUCAGAGAUGCCCUGCCCAGAGAGGAGGAAUCUAGAGAGGUAGUAUGGCUUCAGUGGCUUUGCAGCGCUGCAGUGGGCUCCACUCAGACUGAACUUCCUGGCAGCUUUGUUUACACUGUGAGGGGAAAACUGCCUACUCAAGCCUCAGUAAUGGCAGAUACCUCUCCCCCCACCAAGCUUGAGCGUCCCAGGUCUACUUCAGACUGCUGUGCUGGAAGUAAGAAUUUCAAUCCAGUGGAUCUUAGCUUGCUGGGCUCCAUGGGGGCGGGGGGGGAUCUACUGAUCAAGACCACCUGGCUCCCUGGUUUCAGCCCCCUUUCCAGGGGAGUGAAUGGUUCUGUCUCUCUGGCAUUCCAGGCACCUCUGGGGUACGAAAAAAACUCCUGCAGCUAGCUCAGUGUCUGCCCAGAUGGCCACCCAGUUUUGUGCUUGAAAUCCAGGGCCCUUGUGGUGUAGGCACCCAAGGGAUCUCCUUGUCUGUGGAUUGCGAAGACCGUGGGAAAAGCGUAGUAUCUGGACCGGAGUGCACCCCCACUCACGGCAUGGUCCCUCAUGGCUUCCCUUGGCUAGGGGAGGGAGUUCCCCAACCCCUUGCACUUCCCAGGUGAGGCAAUGCCCCACCCUGCUUCUGCUUGCCCUCCGUGGGCUGCAUCCACUGUCUAACCAGUCCCAGUGAGAUGAACCGAGUACCUCAGUUGGAAAUGCAGAAAUCACCCACUUUCUGUGUUGGUCUUGCUGGGAGCUGCAGACAGCUGUUCCUAUUCGGCCAUCUUGCCUGGGAAUCUGUAAUUAUAUUUUAUUGCAUAUUCUUCCUAGGCUGGGUGUGUGUGUGUGAAAGAGAGAGAGAAACAGAAACAGAGACAAGGAGACAGAGACAGCGAAACAGAAACAGAGUCAUCUUCCAGGUUCUACUUAUUAAGCAAUAUCCCAUGAAGUCGCUGAAAAGUGUUAUAUUCUCCUAAUACCUAGUGUUUGCACAUCUGGCAGCUGUCACUGAUGAUUUAAACAAGAUUGGGUGACUUAUUUAUGUACACACACAUCCACAAUCAAACUUCAACAGUCGAGUGUACCCUUUUCUAAAUAAUCACGUUGCUAAAAUGUGCCAUAUGGCCCAUUUCUUUAAACAAUAAAUGGUAAAUUAUUAUUUUGGGGAGUGAAAGCUAAAAGAAAUAAUAUGUCUAAUACGAUGCGGCAUUUUCUCUAUACAGUACAGUUUUAGCAUUGAAAAGGACCUCAGCAAUUCCAUUUGCCCCGUUUUCAGAUGAGGAGAUUGAGGCUGGUAGUUACAGUGGUUUUGCUUCAUGUCCCAUCCCACUGGGGCUGCUAUGCAAGCUCUCAGUCUAGCCUUCUUUCCUCUGCACUUGGUGGCCAUCAGCUAUAACAAGUCCUGACUAGACCAGGGCUUUGUUGUUGACUACAAUUCAAUGCCUUUUUUGCCUGCGUUUGUUUGGACCCUGCUAAUCAAGGCUACAGGGCAGCUGCAGAAAGACACCUGCUAUUGGCUUACCCGCUCCUCGCCUUCCCUUUGCUUGGGUCUGAGCAUCAGAAAGCCACCUUCCAGUGGGUCUUUGCCUUGCUUUUGUCUUGUCUUUGCUUUUUAUUCAUCUUUGCUUUUGUCUUCUCAGGGCAAAUAGGAAAUCCUAGACCUCAGAUCACUGUUCUUUGCUUCCCAAAAGACAGAACAGCUCAGUCCUGGCUGCCACCUUCUUUCUUUACUCUUGGUUUAAAUGUAAUCCCACAUGCCCUAGACAAGCCUCCCGAUGAUUUUUCAUCAAACAUGAAAAUAGCUUACUUUUAACUGCUGGGUGUCAGUCUCUUCUAAAAAUUUUGUUCCUAAGGAAUUGAUUUUGCAAAUCAGUGCUAAAGUCACUUUUUAACUGCCUCACAUGGUAUCAUUUCUUUGACAACUCUUUUUAAAGGGGAUUGCUCUUUUCUCCUUCUGGCUUCUCAAAUCUACUUUUAACUUCAAAUAGCAGUCAUGCAAUGUAGUUUUAUAAGAUAAUAUACUAGGACCAUCUAUCACAUAUGAAACCAAGCAUAAUCAUUGCAAUUAUUUUUCUACUGUAUUCAGAUGAUGAUAAUACAAAUAAGAGUAUGACAUAUGUAAAUGUUGAUUAGCUUUCUGGUUCCUUCAUCAAAACUUGCGUUGUGUUGUGCAGCCUUUUCUUUGCAUUGUCCAGGGGUUUUGUUAUUACAAACCAUAAUAUUUAACCCAUUUCUUCUACUAAUAUCUUUUAAUAUUUAUGCCAUUAUAUAGCUUUUUAUUUUUGACAUGUAUCUAAACCAGAAAAAAAUAUUCCUUGUACAUGAUAUUUUUAGGCAAAACAUAAUGUCUGGAGCACCAAGUGAAAUAACUGUGGAGAAUGGAAUGUUGGAUAAUUUGUGUGGCAUGCUUAGCUUAAUUUGUUUCUAUGGCACAAGCAAAGCUCAUUAAUUCCAUUUAUUAUUUUAAGCCACUUGUUUGGUGUUAUGGAUUUUAAGAAUCAGUUGGUGUUAGAAUUUUUAAUAACACAGAGAAAAGCCAUUGAAUAUGGAACUCAAAUUAUCUAAGGUUUACCCAGAAGUCAAAAUCACCUGGCCCUCUGUAAAUUUCUCUUUGUGUUCCUAGGCCCGCAAAGUCUUUGGUCUGAAGUGUCAGAGCUUAAAUUGCAUUGGUCCUGUUAAUCUUUGUCAAAAAGGAAGUUUGGGCGGCAGUUUCAGGGUAGUGUUGAGAAGAUAACUCCUGGUCCCAUUUUAUUCUGUCCUCAUUUGUUCAGUGCUCAUGGCCAUCUACAACCUUCCUUGAUUCUAUUCUGCCUAAGCCUCUUAUUUCCACAUCUAUAAGUAUAGUGCUACAUAAUAAUUACAACCUUUAAGAAAAUGGAGAGUUUUCAUUAAAGGGCCCCUGCAAAUCUAUGAUGCUAGAUGACAGAUGCUACCAGAAGGCCAGAGUAUUAAUAGCACCCGUGAUAACUGUAAUAAGAAUAUGUCUCGUUUUCUUUUAAAGACAUAGAUAUUCCAUUUUAAUCCUGUAUAACUCAAAGAAAAUUUGGGUGUUAACACUUUGAAAUACCUUUACCUCCUUUGGGGGAAAUCCAAACUGAAAGGAAUUAAUAUCCACAUCAGUUCCUAAAGCAAAAUGCCUGACACAGACUAACAAAGCUCUUUCUCAUCCUGUGGUAGGAACUUAGGAGUGAUAACUCACAUUGAGAACUUGUGAUCUGAAAACACUAAGGAAUUUCUGCCAUUGCAGGUAGGAAAAAAAAAGACAAAAAUGGUAUUCUCAGAUGAGCUUACCUUUCAAAUUUUUCUGAGACUUCCUAAAUGUGACAAGAACUCUGCUGUGUGGCAACCUUAUGUAUCCACAACAGAACUAAGGACCG